AGUGAACGCUGGCGGUAGGCCUAACACAUGCCAGUCGAACGGCGGCACAGUAAGAGCUUGCUCUUACGGGUGGCGAGUGGCGGACGGGUGAGGAAUACAUCGGAAUCUACUUUUUCGUGGGGGAUAACGUAGGGAAACUUACGCUAAUACCGCAUACGACCUACGGGUGAAAGCAGGGGAUCUUCGGACCUUGCGCGAUUGAAUGAGCCGAUGUCGGAUUAGCUAGUUGGCGGGGUAAAGGCCCACCAAGGCGACGAUCCGUAGCUGGUCUGAGAGGAUGAUCAGCCACACUGGAACUGAGACACGGUCCAGACUCCUACGGGAGGCAGCAGUGGGGAAUAUUGGACAAUGGGCGCAAGCCUGAUCCAGCCAUACCGCGUGGGUGAAGAAGGCCUUCGGGUUGUAAAGCCCUUUUGUUGGGAAAGAAAAGCAGCAGGUUAAUACCCCGCUGUUCUGACGGUACCCAAAGAAUAAGCACCGGCUAACUUCGUG
rnacentral:rRNA from 1 species